UGUGGUUCUCGGGUGACGCACCCGGAACCAGAGAGGAGGGAGCCUGAUUCUGGGGUGCGUCACCUGAGAACCAUC
rfam:Myotis davidii contig50402, whole genome shotgun sequence.